AGAGUUUGAUCCUGGCUCAGGAUGAACGCUGGCGGCGUGCUUAACACAUGCAAGUCGAACGAUGAUCCGGUGCUAGCACCGGGGAUUAGUGGCGAACGGGUGAGUAACACGUGAGUAACCUGCCCUUGACUCUGGGAUAAGCCUGGGAAACUGGGUCUAAUACCGGAUAUGACUCCUCAUCGCAUGGUGGGGGGUGGAAAGCUUUUGCGGUUUUGGAUGGACUCGCGGCCUAUCAGCUUGUUGGUGAGGUAAUGGCUCACCAAGGCGACGACGGGUAGCCGGCCUGAGAGGGUGACCGGCCACACUGGGACUGAGACACGGCCCAGACUCCUACGGGAGGCAGCAGUGGGGAAUAUUGCACAAUGGGCGAAAGCCUGAUGCAGCGACGCCGCGUGAGGGAUGACGGCCUUCGGGUUGUAAACCUCUUUCAGUAGGGAAGAAGCGAAAGUGACGGUACCUGCAGAAGAAGCGCCGGCUAACUACGUGCCAGCAGCCGCGGUAAUACGUAGGGCGCAAGCGUUAUCCGGAAUUAUUGGGCGUAAAGAGCUCGUAGGCGGUUUGUCGCGUCUGCCGUGAAAGUCCGGGGCUCAACCCCGGAUCUGCGGUGGGUACGGGCAGACUAGAGUGAUGUAGGGGAGACUGGAAUUCCUGGUGUAGCGGUGAAAUGCGCAGAUAUCAGGAGGAACACCGAUGGCGAAGGCAGGUCUCUGGGCAUUAACUGACGCUGAGGAGCGAAAGCAUGGGGAGCGAACAGGAUUGGAUACCCUGGUAGUCCAUGCC
rnacentral:rRNA from 1 species